rnacentral:rRNA from 1 species
GACGAACGCUGGCGGCGUGCUUAACACAUGCAAGUCGAACGGAAAGGCCCUGCUUUUGUGGGGUGCUCGAGUGGCGAACGGGUGAGUAACACGUGAGUAACCUGCCCUUGACUUUGGGAUAACUUCAGGAAACUGGGGCUAAUACCGGAUAGGAGCUCCUGCUGCAUGGUGGGGGUUGGAAAGUUUCGGCGGUUGGGGAUGGACUCGCGGCUUAUCAGCUUGUUGGUGGGGUAGUGGCUUACCAAGGCUUUGACGGGUAGCCGGCCUGAGAGGGUGACCGGCCACAUUGGGACUGAGAUACGGCGCAGACUGAUGCGGGAGGCAGCAGUGGGGAAUAGUGCACAAUGGGCGGAAGCCUGAUGCAGCAACGCCGCGUGCGGGAUGACGGCCUUCGGGUUGUAAACCGAUUUCGCCUGUGACGAAGCGUGAGUGACGGUAAUGGGUAAAGAAGCACCGGCUAACUACGUG